GAUAAAUCUUCACCCUUGAUAGAUGUCCCGUUAGUCAGGCCAUACGCCUCUGGAAGUCGUUCGUGCCAAGAACUUAAAACUGGCAAGGGAUGGCCCUCGGUGGUGAAAAUGUAGUUUUGGCCGACCAGAAAUGUGUCGUCAAAUAAAAGAUAUAAAUAUUUGCACGUUUCAGAGAGGAAAAAACUAUGUUGGUGAUCUUCCAACUGCAUAGUGGUAACAUCUCUAACACUUGCAAACCCUCCUUCAACUUUAGUGUAUAAGAUAAGAGACUUCAUGAUUGAUUCACCCACUUCAAAGUACCAUGGAUCUCUGGUUGCUUGAUAUAAGUAAAAAGUUGACUCUGCCAAUUCUGGACGGAGAGGAUAAUAUUUUUCUGUAGGAUGCAGCAUUUGGUGGUCAAGUAAAUACCUUUCCGGUAGAACUCCAUAUUUCUCCCAUACAUGAAAGAACUCACGGUGUGAUGAAUUAGCUGCCGGAAUAUCCCCA
rnacentral:misc_RNA from 1 species